rnacentral:rRNA from 1 species
AGAGUUUGAUCCUGGCUCAGGACGAACGCUGGCGGCGCGCCUAACACAUGCAAGUCGAACGAGCGAGAGAGAGCUUGCUUUCUCGAGCGAGUGGCGAACGGGUGAGUAAUGCGUGAGGAACCUGCCUCAAAGAGGGGGACAACAGUUGGAAACGACUGCUAAUACCGCAUAAGCCCACGGGUCGGCAUCGACCAGAGGGAAAAGGAGCAAUCCGCUUUGAGAUGGCCUCGCGUCCGAUUAGCUAGUUGGUGAGGUAAUGGCCCACCAAGGCAACGAUCGGUAGCCGGACUGAGAGAUUGAACGGCCACAUUGGGACUGAGACACGGCCCAGACUCCUACGGGAGGCAGCAGUGGGGAAUAUUGCACAAUGGGGGAAACCCUGAUGCAGCGACGCCGCGUGGAGGAAGAAGGUCUUCGGAUUGUAAACUCCUGUUGUUGGGGAAGAUAAUGACGGUACCCAACAAGGAAGUGACGGCUAACUACGUGCCAGCAGCCGCGGUAAAACGUAGUCACAAGCGUUGUCCGGAAUUACUGGGUGUAAAGGGAGCGCGCGGGAAGACAGUUGGAAGUGAAAUCCAUGGGCUCAACUCAUGAACUGCUUUCAAAACUGUUUUUCUUGAGUAGUGCAGAGUAGGCGGAAUUCCCGGGUAGCGGUGGAAUGCGUAGAUAUCGGGAGGAACACCAGUGGGAAAGGGGCCUACUGGGCACCAACUGACGCUGAGGCUCGAAAGUGUGGUAGCAAACAGGAUUAAUACCCGGAGUCCACACCGUAAACGAUGAUUACUGUUGGGGGGAUUGACCCCCCUCAGUGCCGCAGUUAACACAAUAAGUAAUCCACCUGGGGAGUACGACCGCAAGGUUGAAACUCAAAGGAAUUGACGGGGGCCCGCACAAGCAGUGGAGUAUGUGGUUUAAUUCGACGCAACGCGAAGAACCUUACCAAGUCUUGACAUCCUGCGACGGUGCUGGAAACAGUACUUUCCUUCGGGACGCAGAGACAGGUGGUGCAUGGUUGUCGUCAGCUCGUGUCGUGAGGUGUUGGGUUAAGUCCCGCAACGAGCGCAACCCUUAUGGUCAGUUACUACGCAAGAGGACUCUGGCCAGACUGCCGUUGACAAAACGGAGGAAGGUGGGGAUGACGUCAAAUCAUCAUGCCCUUUAUGACUUGGGCUACACACGUACUACAAUGGCGUUAAACAAAGAGAAGCAAGACCGCGAGGUGGAGCAAAACUCAGAAACAACGUCCCAGUUCGGACUGCAGGCUGCAACUCGCCUGCACGAAGUCGGAAUUGCUAGUAAUCGUGGAUCAGCAUGCCACGGUGAAUACGUUCCCGGGCCUUGCACACACCGCCCGUCAAGGGCGAAUUCC